CCUACGGGCGGCAGCAGUGGGGAAUAUUGGACAAUGGGGGCAACCCUGAUCCAGCAAUGCCGCGUGUGUGAAGAAGGCCUUCGGGUUGUAAAGCACUUUAGGCUGGGAGGCUGUACCGGCAGAAUAAGCACCGGCUAACUCUGUGCCAGCAGCCGCGGUAAUACAGAGGGUGCGAGCGUUAAUCGGAUUUACUGGGCGUAAAGGGCGCGUAGGCGGUUAGUUAAGAUAGAUGUGAAAUCCCUGGGCUUAACCUAGGAACUGCAUCUAUAACUGGCUAGCUAGAGUACUGUAGAGGGUAGUGGAAUUUCCGGUGUAGCGGUGAAAUGCGUAGAGAUCGGAAGGAACACCAGUGGCGAAGGCGGCUACCUGGACAGAACUGACGCUGAGGCGCGAAAGCGUGGGGAGCAAACAGGAUUAGAUACCCUUGUAGUC
rnacentral:rRNA from 1 species